AAAUAAGAAGCGAAAUAUUGCAAUCAGUUUCGACCUGAGUUAUGGCACCAAUAUGCCCUUAUUUA
rnacentral:tRNA from 2 species